UACGUAGAGUGCAAGCGUUGUCCGGAAUCAUUGGGCGUAAAGGGUACGCAGGCGGAUAUACAAGUCAAAUGUGAAAGGUGUAGGCUUAACCUACAGACUGCGUUUGAAACUGUAUAUCUUGAGAGCAGCAGAGGAAGGCGGAAUUCCUGGUGUAGUGGUGAAAUACGUAGAUAUCAGGAAGAACACCAGUGGCGAAGGCGGUCUUCUGGGCUGCAUCUGACGCUCAUGUACGAAAGCUGGGGUAGCGAACGGGAUUAGAUACCCCGGUAGUCCCAGCUGUAAACGAUGGUCACUAGGUGUUGGAGGUUCGAAUCCUUCAGUGCCGGAGUUAACGCAUUAAGUGACCCGCCUGGGGAAUACGGUCGCAAGACUGAA
rnacentral:rRNA from 1 species